rnacentral:rRNA from 1 species
AGUGAACGCUGGCGGUAGGCCUAACACAUGCAAGUCGAACGGCAGCACAGUAAGAGUUUGCUCUUACGGGUGGCGAGUGGCGGACGGGUGAGGAAUACAUCGGAAUCUACUUUUUCGUGGGGGAUAACGUAGGGAAACUUACGCUAAUACCGCACACGACCUACGGGUGAAAGCAGUGGAUCUUCGGACCUUGCGCGAUUGAAUGAGCCGAUGUCGGAUUAGCUAGUUGGCGGGGUAAAGGCCCACCAAGGCGACGAUCCGCAGCGGGUCUGAGAGGAUGAUCAGCCACACUGGAACUGAGACACGGUCCAGACUCCUACGGGAGGCAGCAGUGGGGAAUAUUGGACAAUGGGCGCAAGCCUGAUCCAGCCAUACCGCGUGGGUGAAGAAGGCCUUCGGGUUGUAAAGCCCUUUUGUUGGGAAAGAAAAGCAGCAGGUUAAUACCCCGCUGUUCUGACGGUACCCAAAGAAUAAGCGCCGGCUAACUUCGUG